UAAUAGAAAUAAAGUGCACAAUAAAUGUAAUGUAUUUGAAUCAUCCUGAAACCAUCCCCCCGAACCCAUCCGUGGAAAAGUGUCUUCCACAAAACUGAUCCCUGGUGCCAAAAAGGUUAGGGACCACUGCUCUAAGCAAUGCCUCCUCCUUUUGCUCUCAGGACCUUCAUUAUCUCUUCCUCUGUAUCUCCAACCCUCUGCCUAGAAUGCUGAUUCAAGAAAAAACCCAACAUGUCCUUUGCCUAGAAUACCCAACCCAAAUCCUUGUAAACCUGGUGAGUGCCAGGAAUCUUUUCACUUCCAGUUCAAUCCUCACCUACUGUUUAGAGCUUUUCCGGCAGUCUCCAGGUAGAGGCCAUGCCCUCUAUGCUAACAAUGAACCUUGUACAUACUUCUAAUAAAUCUAACUCAUAUAUGUCUCCUGCGGGGUGCCUUGAAGGGGUCCCUUGUCAUUUUUCAAGUACCACUCCAACAUUUAACACUUGGGAACAUUCCCCUGCAGGUAAAAAGUAUUUUUUUCACUUGCUAAUUAUCUGGAGUACAGAGCCUUCCCUCAGCACAAGUCACCAGUCCGAACAAAGGGAGUGUCAUGUUAAUAAUAACACCAUUAUUAAAAGACUACAAAAUGGCAAUGCAUGGGAGUGUAUUAUAAUAGCAGAAUAUAAUGUACCUCCUUCACUUCUUUCACUAAUUCCCCAAGAGUUUUGCCUUUACUGCAACAGAAUAGAGAAGGCCCUUAAUGAGUUUGAAUUGACCAAAUAUUAACCAGCCUCCAGUGUGCAAACUGAUUUUAAAAUAGCCCUUGACCUGGAAAUAUAGGUGUAUUCAAAUACACACCCUGAUAAGAAGGGACAGACAGGGAUAGAGUUCAACAUCUAUAAGCUUGCCAAGUCAAAAGUUCCUUGUGAUAAACUCUAAAAGUAGAGCAGUAUUUUAGAUACGGUUUGAAUAUGUUCAUCCUUGUCUAAGAAAUCUUGACAAAACAGGUUACAUAUAGCAAAGUCUACUUUCAGAAAACAAAAUCCAGCUGGACAUGUGUUAAUGAAAACCAACAGUACUGCACUGAUAAAUAAAUAAAUAUGCAGCGAGGCAACCCAGUCACAGAUAGCUAGAGACAACAGUUCUAAUGAGUCAAAUCACACCACAGAAGUAGUUUCCAUUCCAUUUUAAAUACAUUAUGGUGUUAAAAAACAAAAAAACAACAAAAAAAAAAACCUUAAUUCCAAAGGUAUUUUAUGCAUGGCUUCCUGAACAUCUUUUAUCUUAAUAAAAGGUUGUUAGUUUUGUCGAGUUAAGGGAGUCAACAUAGAGAAGCUGGUAUUUCCUUGAUACUAAACUAUACCGGUGCUAAAAACAAAACAAAAAACAAAUCCCAACCUAAUUAAUUCUAUUUUGGGUCUAGUUUCCAAGGCAGUUUUCACAAAGACUAUUCUCAGCUCACUGUUUCUAGUUUUGUAACUUCAACCUUCAGUAGCUGGAAAUUGCUAUAUUUUGGGUAAUUCCUUGACACAUAUGUUCUAUUACAGACUCAUUUUAUUCUACUUACUAUCAAGGGUAAGGGGAAAAAAGUGUCACUCCAUUGAUUCUAAAGUUUUAGUUUCUAAGAAUCACGUUUGUGUUUAUUUCGCGGUAUCAUGUGAUAUGUUCCUAUUAGGGCUUUGUAAUUUGGGUUACAUCAAUUUCAUCAACAUCAACUUUCAGAUGGAAUCCUUCCCAAAUCAGAACUGCCAGCCAGUCUCAGCAACUACAUAAAUCAGAAGAAAAGGAAUCAGGAAACAGAUUCUAGUUUCAAGAGGCACGAACUUGACCUUGGGCAAUUCACCUCACUUCUGUAAUUCAAAUGGCAACGCCUGCUUCCAAAGUAUGCUUCUAGAAACAGUUUACGUGUUUUGGGUUUCUCAAAUAAAAUGGAAUUUUCUAAACAGAUGGUUUGAUACAACAAUCUAUUCUCUGGCCCAAUUUCCCAAACCAUCCAGUCCAUAAGGUCAUAAAACUGCAUUUCUUCACAAGUUCUUACUUGCACCACUGUAUUACCAAACACACCCGAACUCCUUUUCUAGCUUUAAACAGAUGGUAAUAUCACGUGUACUUAUUCUUAAAUGUGAAAGAAGAGUAAUCUAUAGAAAAGGGAGUGAAAAGUCUUCAUGAAUUAACGUGUCGGGUUAAAUGAAAUCUACUGGUAGACAGAAGAAUUGCACUGUCUGCCGUGUACUCAAAAGAAGCUGGAAGAUUACUAUAAUGUCACGGGCAUGAUACUCUCAAACCUCCAAAAUCUAUCAUACUGAAAAAGGACGGAGAAAAUAAAAGUGCAGAUGGGAUAGCGCGAGAAGCCAAGCCUCCCGCGUCAGGAUCCAAUGAAAUGAUAGAGCCGGUGGCACGACGGUGGCACGUCUCUAUAGAGUCCUUACUAACUUUGUUCCCUGUACUGAGAAGAGGGGUGAGGUGGCAGCUACUAACUGCAGCCCCUAGGAGGGCAGGUUCCAUUCUGAUUCCAGCGUCGGCCCCAGAUCCUGAAGAAAGGACCGGAAGGGGAUGAAACUAAACUCGCCACUGGGUUAGGAUCUCCUUGACCGAGCUGGUCUCAGUAAGUGGUGUCCAUCAUGGGAGCUCGAAUCCAGGUCGAAGGGUCACCAGAGUGAUGGUUGGAGAACAUGGAACUAGCUGGAGGACACCUAAGUACCCUUAAAGCAACCCCCGUGGCCAAAUAAAUAGCCGAUUUGGGUACCAUCGAGACACCUUAUCGUGAGCCAGAUGUCGAGGAAGAGACUCCGGGAGGAUCCCGAGGACCCCCUUGUUGCAGCCAUGUUGAGGCUGAUGGUGAGGAGGACCCCAACUGUCACGAGCAACACCUGUUGAAUACAGCCACCUACCUGGGGACAGAUCAAGAAGCUGUCACAGAUGGUGGAAGAAAACUUGCGGAAAGCGGGACAACCAGUCACAACGAGUAAUUUAAUGGUAGCUAUGAUAGCAGUUGUGAGUAUUCCUUCAACAAGGGCUGACACAGAGAACAAUUAUACUUAUUGGGUGUAUUUAUCAAUCUUGACUGGUAAUAAUGCCUGGAUAUAAUCACUCUGACACAGUUACACAUGCUUUCUGAUCUCAGUAUUUACCAUAAUAA